AGCCUUGUGGCCUAAUGGUUAAGGCGUCUGUCUUCGGAACAGAAGAUUGGGAGUUCGAAUCUCUCCAGGGUCG